GUCGGGAGUCUUGCACAAUGGGGGAAACCCUGAUGCAGCGACGUCGCGUGUGGGAUGAAGUAUUUCGGUAUGUAAACCACUUUUGCGGGGGGCGAAAAAAAUGACGGUACCCCGCGAAUAAGCCCCGGCUAACUACGUGCCAGCAGCCGCGGUAAUACGUAGGGGGCGAGCGUUGCUCGGAUUGACUGGGCGUAAAGCGCGCGUAGGCGGUCCAUUAAGUGUGCGGUGAAAUUCGGAGGCUCAACCUCCGUCCCGCCGCGCAAACUGAUGGUCUUGAGAUUGGGAGGGGGAUGCGGAAUUCCUGGUGUAGCGGUGAAAUGCAUUGAUAUCAGGAGGAACACCGGCGGCGAAAGCGGCAUCCUGGCUUAUAUCUGACGCUGAGGCGCGAAAGUGUGGGUAGCAAACGGGAUUAGAUACCCCGGUAGUCC
rnacentral:rRNA from 1 species